UGAGGAAUCUUGCGCAAUGGACGAAAGUCUGACGCAGCGACGCCGCGUGGAGGAUGAAGGUUUUCGGAUUGUAAACUCCUGUUAAGUGGGAAGAAAUUCUCGUCUCUAAUACAGACGAGCGAUGACGGUACCAUUAGAGAAAGCACCGGCUAACUUCGUGCCAGCAGCCGCGGUAAUACGAGGGGUGCGAGCGUUAUUCGGAAUUAUUGGGCGUAAAGGGUGCGUAGGCGGCAUAUUAAGUCAGUUGUUAAAUUUCCCGGCCUAACUGGGAGUGUGCAGCAGAUACUGAUGUGCUAGAGGAUGGAAGAGAGAAGUGGAAUUCUCGGAGUAGCGGUAAAAUGCGUAGAUCUCGAGAGGAACACCGAUGGCGAAGGCAGCUUCUUGGUCCAUAUCUGACGCUGAGUGCACGAAAGCGUGGGGAGCAAACAGGAUUAGAUACCCCCGUAGUCC
rnacentral:rRNA from 1 species